GAGGGGUCAGAUGUUGUCUAGAAAAUGUCACCAACCAUUGUGGCAAUGGCAGAACGGAGCUAGAGAUUCUGUGAGAAGAAUGCAGUGUAUGGAAGAUGCAACCAAAGAUUGACUUCAGUUCAAACAAGUUCUGUCUGUGGCCCUCUGACGAAGGAGCUGUCAGCACAGCAUAUGUAUCCAGUAAUCUCAAAAUCAGCGAAAG